rnacentral:rRNA from 1 species
GGGUUGUGAGGUUAAGCGACUAAGCGUACACGGUGGAUGCCCUGGCAGUCAGAGGCGAUGAAGGACGUGCUAAUCUGCGAUAAGCGUCGGUAAGGUGAUAUGAACCGUUAUAACCGGCGAUUUCCGAAUGGGGAAACCCAGUGUGUUUCGACACACUAUCAUUAACUGAAUCCAUAGGUUAAUGAGGCGAACCGGGGGAACUGAAACAUCUAAGUACCCCGAGGAAAAGAAAUCAACCGAGAUUCCCCCAGUAGCGGCGAGCGAACGGGGAGCAGCCCAGAGCCUGAAUCAGUGUGUGUGUUAGUGGAAGCGUCUGGAAAGGCGCGCGAUACAGGGUGACAGCCCCGUACACAAAAAUGCACAUGCUGUGAGCUCGAUGAGUAGGGCGGGACACGUGGUAUCCUGUCUGAAUAUGGGGGGACCAUCCUCCAAGGCUAAAUACUCCUGACUGACCGAUAGUGAACCAGUACCGUGAGGGAAAGGCGAAAAGAACCCCGGCGAGGGGAGUGAAAAAGAACCUGAAACCGUGUACGUACAAGCAGUGGGAGCACGCUUAGGCGUGUGACUGCGUACCUUUUGUAUAAUGGGUCAGCGACUUAUAUUCUGUAGCAAGGUUAACCGAAUAGGGGAGCCGAAGGGAAACCGAGUCUUAACUGGGCGUUAAGUUGCAGGGUAUAGACCCGAAACCCGGUGAUCUAGCCAUGGGCAGGUUGAAGGUUGGGUAACACUAACUGGAGGACCGAACCGACUAAUGUUGAAAAAUUAGCGGAUGACUUGUGGCUGGGGGUGAAAGGCCAAUCAAACCGGGAGAUAGCUGGUUCUCCCCGAAAGCUAUUUAGGUAGCGCCUCGUGAAUUCAUCUCCGGGGGUAGAGCACUGUUUCGGCAAGGGGGUCAUCCCGACUUACCAACCCGAUGCAAACUGCGAAUACCGGAGAAUGUUAUCACGGGAGACACACGGCGGGUGCUAACGUCCGUCGUGAAGAGGGAAACAACCCAGACCGCCAGCUAAGGUCCCAAAGUCAUGGUUAAGUGGGAAACGAUGUGGGAAGGCCCAGACAGCCAGGAUGUUGGCUUAGAAGCAGCCAUCAUUUAAAGAAAGCGUAAUAGCUCACUGGUCGAGUCGGCCUGCGCGGAAGAUGUAACGGGGCUAAACCAUGCACCGAAGCUGCGGCAGCGACGCUGAUGCGUUGUUGGGUAGGGGAGCGUUCUGUAAGCCUGCGAAGGUGUGCUGUGAGGCAUGCUGGAGGUAUCAGAAGUGCGAAUGCUGACAUAAGUAACGAUAAAGCGGGUGAAAAGCCCGCUCGCCGGAAGACCAAGGGUUCCUGUCCAACGUUAAUCGGGGCAGGGUGAGUCGACCCCUAAGGCGAGGCCGAAAGGCGUAGUCGAUGGGAAACAGGUUAAUAUUCCUGUACUUGGUGUUACUGCGAAGGGGGGACGGAGAAGGCUAUGUUGGCCGGGCGACGGUUGUCCCGGUUUAAGCGUGUAGGCUGGUUUUCCAGGCAAAUCCGGAAAAUCAAGGCUGAGGCGUGAUGACGAGGCACUACGGUGCUGAAGCAACAAAUGCCCUGCUUCCAGGAAAAGCCUCUAAGCAUCAGGUAACAUCAAAUCGUACCCCAAACCGACACAGGUGGUCAGGUAGAGAAUACCAAGGCGCUUGAGAGAACUCGGGUGAAGGAACUAGGCAAAAUGGUGCCGUAACUUCGGGAGAAGGCACGCUGAUAUGUAGGUGAAGUCCCUCGCGGAUGGAGCUGAAAUCAGUCGAAGAUACCAGCUGGCUGCAACUGUUUAUUAAAAACACAGCACUGUGCAAACACGAAAGUGGACGUAUACGGUGUGACGCCUGCCCGGUGCCGGAAGGUUAAUUGAUGGGGUUAGCGCAAGCGAAGCUCUUGAUCGAAGCCCCGGUAAACGGCGGCCGUAACUAUAACGGUCCUAAGGUAGCGAAAUUCCUUGUCGGGUAAGUUCCGACCUGCACGAAUGGCGUAAUGAUGGCCAGGCUGUCUCCACCCGAGACUCAGUGAAAUUGAACUCGCUGUGAAGAUGCAGUGUACCCGCGGCAAGACGGAAAGACCCCGUGAACCUUUACUAUAGCUUGACACUGAACAUUGAGCCUUGAUGUGUAGGAUAGGUGGGAGGCUUUGAAGUGUGGACGCCAGUCUGCAUGGAGCCGACCUUGAAAUACCACCCUUUAAUGUUUGAUGUUCUAACGUUGACCCGUAAUCCGGGUUGCGGACAGUGUCUGGUGGGUAGUUUGACUGGGGCGGUCUCCUCCUAAAGAGUAACGGAGGAGCACGAAGGUUGGCUAAUCCUGGUCGGACAUCAGGAGGUUAGUGCAAUGGCAUAAGCCAGCUUGACUGCGAGCGUGACGGCGCGAGCAGGUGCGAAAGCAGGUCAUAGUGAUCCGGUGGUUCUGAAUGGAAGGGCCAUCGCUCAACGGAUAAAAGGUACUCCGGGGAUAACAGGCUGAUACCGCCCAAGAGUUCAUAUCGACGGCGGUGUUUGGCACCUCGAUGUCGGCUCAUCACAUCCUGGGGCUGAAGUAGGUCCCAAGGGUAUGGCUGUUCGCCAUUUAAAGUGGUACGCGAGCUGGGUUUAGAACGUCGUGAGACAGUUCGGUCCCUAUCUGCCGUGGGCGCUGGAGAACUGAGGGGGGCUGCUCCUAGUACGAGAGGACCGGAGUGGACGCAUCACUGGUGUUCGGGUUGUCAUGCCAAUGGCACUGCCCGGUAGCUAAAUGCGGAAGAGAUAAGUGCUGAAAGCAUCUAAGCACGAAACUUGCCCCGAGAUGAGUUCUCCCUGACCCUUUAAGGGUCCUGAAGGAACGUUGAAGACGACGACGUUGAUAGGCCGGGUGUGUAAGCGCAGCGAUGCGUUGAGCUAACCGGUACUAAUGAACCGUGAGGCUUAACCUUACAACGCCGAAG